GACGAACGCUGGCGGCGUGCUUAACACAUGCAAGUCGAACGAAGUGGCGAACGGGUGAGUAACGCGUAAUCAACCUGCCCUUCAGAGGGGGACAACAGUUGGCAACGACUGCUAAUACCGCAUACUGAAGGAGGGGAUUGCGUCUGAUUAGCUAGUUGGAGGGGUAACGGCCCACCAAAGCGAUGAUCAGUAGCCGGUCUGAGAGGGGUACCGGCCAGAUUGGGAGUGUGUGACGGCCCAGAAUCGUAAAGGAGGCAGCAGUGGGGAUUCGUCCGCAAUGGACGAAAGUCUGACGGAGCAACGCCGUGUGAGUGAUGACGGCCUUCGGGUUGUAAAGAUCUGUUAAUCGGGACGCGGUACCGGAAUAGAAAGCCACGGCUAACUACGUGCCAGCAGCCGCGGUAAUAC
rnacentral:rRNA from 1 species